AUAUGAUGCAAUAGUUUCUAGAACAACUCAGUAUUCUGGAAUCAUUAUCAGAUUGCUUUUGGACAAGACUGCUCUUCUUUUGUGAUUGCUAUAAAGGAAAAGAAAGGAAAGUGCCUUCAGGGACUCAUGUGAGAAAAGUACAUCAACUGAUGACUAAGCCAACUGAUUUAGGCAAAAGCAGGCUUCCCUUCUACUAAAUCCUGGGAAUAAAUUAGAGUCUACCGGAAAUGUAUGUCGUCCUCUUAUUUCCUUCUGCGUUUCCUCAGGUGGCAUAUGAAAUUAAAGCAGCCAUCUAAACCAUGAGGUAGCACGCUGAAGAUGGCAGAACAGCAAGACAGAAGAGCCCAAGUCCCUGAUGACCAUGGAGCUGCCACACCAGCCAAGGCCUGCCCACCUAUGGAAUCAUGUGCAGAGUUAAGCUAUUAUUAUCAUCUAUUUUCUGUGUAAUGCAGCCAAAUCCAAUUCUAAUAGAUCAGUUUUAAAUAUAUCUA